rnacentral:rRNA from 1 species
AUGUGCAAUGAUGAUGCCAUGUUUGAUGCAACAAAUCCUAUGAUGGAAUGGUUGAAUGAGGAUGAGGAGCAUGCAAUCUUGGAUGGAGUUGAUGCUGCUAGCGCCGUGUUUGAGAAAAUAUGUUUGCUUAACUCAAGUAGGAAAGUUUCUCAUCUUGCAAGGAAGGACAAUGGCAGGAAAAGAAAGAGGGUAGAGGAAGAAGUGGAUGACUACCAUGAUAGUGAGGAUGAUGAAGAAGAAAAUGAGGAGCUGGACCUGGAAAUUGAUGAUGAUGAUGAUAGCCAUGAUGAUGGUGCAAGUCAAUCUGAUAGAGGAUUCGCCAAUGCAAAUUGA